rnacentral:misc_RNA from 1 species
CCUGCCCAGCGUGUAGAAAUCGACGCGGGUCGCCGCAGUCUCCGCCGCUUGCCGCAAUCGCGCGUCUUCAAGCUCGCGACGCAACGGAGCAAUGACCUUUUGUUCGACAUCAGCCUUGAAACCGCUGUUCUGGAUCAGCGCAUCGCACAAGGCGAUCAGCCUCGCCUUCUCACCAUCCCGCCCCAGCACAUAGCCGAAGCCAAGUUCACCGGAGGCUAGCCGCACCGCUGCGCGCGAAACGCUGGCCUCGCCGAGAUUGAAAGGCGCGCCGUCACCGCCGAUCCGGCCCC